rnacentral:rRNA from 1 species
GAUGAACGCUGGCGGCGUGCCUAAUACAUGCAAGUCGAGCGAACAGAUAAGGAGCUUGCUCCUUUGACGUUAGCGGCGGACGGGUGAGUAACACGUGGGUAACCUAUCUAUAAGACUGGAAUAACUCCGGGAAACCGGGGCUAAUGCCGGAUAACAUGUUGAACCGCAUGGUUCUACAGUGAAAGGCGGCUUUGCUGUCACUUAUAGAUGGACCCGCGCCGUAUUAGCUAGUUGGUGAGGUAACGGCUCACCAAGGCAACGAUACGUAGCCGACCUGAGAGAGUGAUCGGCCACACUGGAACUGAGACACGGUCCAGACUCCUACGGGAGGCAGCAGUAGGGAAUCUUCCGCAAUGGGCGAAAGCCUGACGGAGCAACGCCGCGUGAGUGAUGAAGGUCUUCGGAUCGUAAAACUCUGUUAUUAGGGAAGAACAAAUGCGUAAGUAACUGUGCGCGUCUUGACGGUACCUAAUCAGAAAGCCACGGCUAACUACGUG